rnacentral:rRNA from 1 species
GUAGUUAGCCGUGGCUUCCUCCUUAGGUACCGUCAUUAUCGUCCCUAAAGACAGAGCUUUACAAUCCGAAGACCUUCUUCCCUCACGCGGCGUUGCUGGGUCAGGCUUUCGCCCAUUGCCCAAUAUUCCCCACUGCUGCCUCCCGUAGGAGUCUGGACCGUCUCUCAGUUCCAGUGUGGCCGAUCACCCUCUCAGGUCGGCUACUGAUCGUCGCCUUGGUGGGCCGUUACCUCACCAACUAGCUAAUCAGACGCGAGCUCACCUUUCACCGGAUCUCUCCUUUGACCCCUGUACCAUGUGAUACUGUGGUCUUAUGCGGUAUUAGCACACCUUUCGAUGCGUUAUCCCCCUGUGAAAGACAGAUUGCUCACGCGUUACUCACCCGUCCGCCGCUAGAAUACCCUCGGAUUGCUCCUUGCGUAUCCCCGCUCGACUUGCAUGUGUUAGGCACGCCGCCAGCGUUCGUCCUGAGCCAGGAUCAAACUCUGA